GACGAACGCUGGCGGCGUGCCUAAUACAUGCAAGUCGAACGCAGUGGGGACGGGUGAGUAACACGUGGGUAACCUCCCAUCAGAGGGGAUAACACUUGGCAACAGGUGCUAAAACGAUACUGAUGGAUGGACCCGCGGUGCAUUAGCCAGUGGGUGAGGUAACGGCUCCCCAAGGCCACGAUGCAUAGCCGACUGGAGAGGGGGAUCGGCCACAAUGGGACUGAGACACGGCCCAGACGCCGACGGGAGGCAGCAGUAGGGAAUCUGCGGAAAGGGACGAAAGUCUGACCGAGCAACGCCGCGUGAGUGAAGAAGGUUUUCGGAGCGGAAAACUCUGUUGUUAGAGAAGCGGUAUCUAACCAGAAAGCCACGGCUAACUACGUGCCAGCCGCCGCGGUAAUUC
rnacentral:rRNA from 1 species